GAUGAACGCUGGCGGCGUGCCUAAUACAUGCAAGUCGAGCGAACGGACGAGAAGCUUGCUUCUCUGAUGUUAGCGGCGGACGGGUGAGUAACACGUGGAUAACCUACCUAUAAGACUGGGAUAACUUCGGGAAACCGGAGCUAAUACCGGAUGAUAUUUUGAACCGCAUGGUUCAAAAGUGAAAGACGGUCUUGCUGUCACUUAUAGAUGGAUCCGCGCUGCAUUAGCUAGUUGGUAAGGUAACGGCUUACCAAGGCAACGAUGCAUAGCCGACCUGAGAGGGUGAUCGGCCACACUGGAACUGAGACACGGUCCAGACUCCUACGGGAGGCAGCAGUAUGGAAUCUUCCGCAAUGGGCGAAAGCCUGACGGAGCAACGCCGCGUGAGUGAUGAAGGUCUUCGGAUCGUAAAACUCUGUUAUUAGGGAAGAACAUAUGUGUAAGUAACUGUGCACAUCUUGACGGUACCUAAUCAGAAAGCCACGGCUAACUACGUG
rnacentral:rRNA from 1 species